CAAGCGUCAAUCGUGAAGCGUUGACGGUUGAACUAGCGAGUAGCGUGAUUCACAUGAAAUAUGAAUGCGUAUGAUUAAGUCGAUUAAGAUUGAAAGUCUGAAAUCUCAUCGAGACAGGAUACUUAGAGUGAUACAAAUAAUCUGAAUUUAAUCGGGUUAGACUUCAGACUGCUUUACAAACAUAUUUUUUAAACUUUAGAGCCUUCGUUUGUUUUAUCAAUACAAACUUCAAGGAUCGCAGACUAUUGUGCGUCGUAAUGUAUUUAACGCCAACAUAUUAAAAUGCCAGUCAUCAACUAGCCUUGCUAAGUUAAAGAAGUUGCAAGCUGAUUUCCAACGUGAGGAUGGCACACCUAUAUGGUUAAAACGCGG